rnacentral:rRNA from 1 species
CUUUACUGUAGCCUGGUAUUGGGUUCGGGCUUUGACUGCGCAGGAUAGGUGGGAGACUAUGAAGAUGCCCUUGUGGGGGCAGUGGAGUCAUCAGUGAGAUACCACUCUGUCAAGGCUAGAAUUCUAACCGUAUGCCGUUAUCCGGCGACGGAACAGUAUCAGGUGGGCAGUUUGACUGGGGCGGUCGCCUCCUAAAUGGUAACGGAGGCGCGCAAAGGUUCCCUCAGGCUGGUUGGAAAUCAGCCGAAGAGUGUAAAGGCAGAAGGGAGCUUGACUGCAAGAGCAACAACUCAAGCAGGGACGAAAGUCGGCCUUAGUGAUCCGACGGUUCUGUGUGGAAGGGCCGUCGCUCGACGGAUAAAAGUUA